rnacentral:rRNA from 1 species
UACGUAGGCAGCAAGCGUUGUUCGGAGUUACUGGGCGUAAAGGGUGCGUAGGUGGCUCUAUAAGUAUGGUGUGAAAUCUCCCGGCUUAACUGGGAGGGUGCGCCGAAUACUGAAUAACUAGAGUGCGGGAGAGGAAAGUGGAAUUCCUGGUGUAGCGGUGAAAUGCGUAGAUAUCAGGAGGAACACCGGUGGUGUAGACGGCUUUCUGGACCGUAACUGACGCUGAGACACGAAAGCGUGGGUAGCAAACAGG